GACGAACGCUGGCGGCGUGCUUAACACAUGCAAGUCGAGCGGAGCGGCCAACGGGCGGGUAAGGCGUGAGUAACUGCCCCCCUCCCUGGGGUAACAGUUGAAAACGGGAGCUAAUACCGGAUAGUGGGGGAUGACUCGCGUCAAAUAAGCUUGUUGGUGGGGUAGUGGCCUACCAAGGCGACGACGGGUAGCCGGCCUGGGAGGGCGACCGGGCACAUUGGGCUGCGAUACGGCCCAAACUCCUACAGGAGGCAGCAGUGGGGAAUAUUGCACAAUGGGGGAAACCCUGAUGCAGCAACGCCGCGUGCGGAAUGACGGCCUUCGGGUGGUAAACCGCUUUCAGCCAUGACGCGGUAGUGGCAGAAGAAGCACCGGCUAACUACGUGCCAGCCGCCGCGGUAAUAC
rnacentral:rRNA from 1 species